rnacentral:rRNA from 1 species
CUUGGUCAUUUAGAGGAAGUAAAAGUCGUAACAAGGUUUCCGUAGGUGAACCUGCGGAAGGAUCAUUAGUGAAUUGAAUAUGUUAGCGGACCUCUUCGGAGUCCCUAGCAUCAAAUCAUAUCCAUAACACCUGUGAACUGUAAGGCUGUCUUGAAAACGAAAGUGAUUAGAGCGCCUGCCCAUUUUAUACAAACAUUAAAGUAACAAACGUAGUCUUAUUAUAAUCUAAUAAAACUUUCAACAACGGAUCUCUUGGUUCUGGCAUCGAUGAAGAACGCAGCGAAAUGCGAUAAGUAAUGUGAAUUGCAGAAUUCAGUGAAUCAUCGAAUCUUUGAACGCACAUUGCGCCCUGUGGUAUUCCGCAGGGCAUGCCUGUUCGAGCGUCAUUUAACCACUCACGCCUAGCGUGGUAUUGGGGCACGCGGUCUCCGCGGCCCUCAAAAUUAGUGGCGGCGCCGGUGGGCUCUAAGCGUAGUACAUACUCCCGCUAUAGAGUUCCCCCCGGUGGCUCGCCAGAACCCCCAAUUUUUUACAGGUUGACCUCGGAUCAGGUAGGGAUACCCGCUGAACUUAAGCAUAUCAAUAAGCGGAGGA